UUAGCGGAUGACUUGUGGCUGGGGGUGAAAGGCCAAUCAAACCGGGAGAUAGCUGGUUCUCCCCGAAAGCUAUUUAGGUAGCGCCUCGUGAAUUCAUCUCCGGGGGUAGAGCACUGUUUCGGCAAGGGGGUCAUCCCGACUUACCAACCCGAUGCAAACUGCGAAUACCGGAGAAUGUUAUCACGGGAGACACACGGCGGGUGCUAACGUCCGUCGUGAAGAGGGAAACAACCCAGACCGCCAGCUAAGGUCCCAAAGUCAUGGUUAAGUGGGAAACGAUGUGGGAAGGCCCAGACAGCCAGGAUGUUGGCUUAGAAGCAGCCAUCAUUUAAAGAAAGCGUAAUAGCUCACUGGUCGAGUCGGCCUGCGCGGAAGAUGUAACGGGGCUAAACCAUGCACCGAAGCUGCGGCAGCGACGCUUAUGCGUUGUUGGGUAGGGGAGCGUUCUGUAAGCCUGUGAAGGUGUGCUGUGAGGCAUGCUGGAGGUAUCAGAAGUGCGAAUGCUGACAUAAGUAACGAUAAAGCGGGUGAAAAGCCCGCUCGCCGGAAGACCAAGGGUUCCUGUCCAACGUUAAUCGGGGCAGGGUGAGUCGACCCCUAAGGCGAGGCCGAAAGGCGUAGUCGAUGGGAAACAGGUUAAUAUUCCUGUACUUGGUGUUACUGCGAAGGGGGGACGGAGAAGGCUAUGUUGGCCGGGCGACGGUUGUCCCGGUUUAAGCGUGUAGGCUGGUUUUCCAGGCAAAUCCGGAAAAUCAAGGCUGAGGCGUGAUGACGAGGCACUACGGUGCUGAAGCAACAAAUGCCCUGCUUCCAGGAAAAGCCUCUAAGCAUCAGGUAACAUCAAAUCGUACCCCAAACCGACACAGGUGGUCAGGUAGAGAAUACCAAGGCGCUUGAGAGAACUCGGGUGAAGGAACUAGGCAAAAUGGUGCCGUAACUUCGGGAGAAGGCACGCUGAUAUGUAGGUGAGGUCCCUCGCGGAUGGAGCUGAAAUCAGUCGAAGAUACCAGCUGGCUGCAACUGUUUAUUAAAAACACAGCACUGUGCAAACACGAAAGUGGACGUAUACGGUGUGACGCCUGCCCGGUGCCGGAAGGUUAAUUGAUGGGGUUAGCGGUAACGCGAAGCUCUUGAUCGAAGCCCCGGUAAACGGCGGCCGUAACUAUAACGGUCCUAAGGUAGCGAAAUUCCUUGUCGGGUAAGUUCCGACCUGCACGAAUGGCGUAAUGAUGGCCAGGCUGUCUCCACCCGAGACUCAGUGAAAUUGAACUCGCUGUGAAGAUGCAGUGUACCCGCGGCAAGACGGAAAGACCCCGUGAACCUUUACUAUAGCUUGACACUGAACAUUGAGCCUUGAUGUGUAGGAUAGGUGGGAGGCUUUGAAGUGUGGACGCCAGUCUGCAUGGAGCCGACCUUGAAAUACCACCCUUUAAUGUUUGAUGUUCUAACGUUGACCCGUAAUCCGGGUUGCGGACAGUGUCUGGUGGGUAGUUUGACUGGGGCGGUCUCCUCCUAAAGAGUAACGGAGGAGCACGAAGGUUGGCUAAUCCUGGUCGGACAUCAGGAGGUUAGUGCAAUGGCAUAAGCCAGCUUGACUGCGAGCGUGACGGCGCGAGCAGGUGCGAAAGCAGGUCAUAGUGAUCCGGUGGUUCUGAAUGGAAGGGCCAUCGCUCAACGGAUAAAAGGUACUCCGGGGAUAACAGGCUGAUACCGCCCAAGAGUUCAUAUCGACGGCGGUGUUUGGCACCUCGAUGUCGGCUCAUCACAUCCUGGGGCUGAAGUAGGUCCCAAGGGUAUGGCUGUUCGCCAUUUAAAGUGGUACGCGAGCUGGGUUUAGAACGUCGUGAGACAGUUCGGUCCCUAUCUGCCGUGGGCGCUGGAGAACUGAGGGGGGCUGCUCCUAGUACGAGAGGACCGGAGUGGACGCAUCACUGGUGUUCGGGUUGUCAUGCCAAUGGCACUGCCCGGUAGCUAAAUGCGGAAGAGAUAAGUGCUGAAAGCAUCUAAGCACGAAACUUGCCCCGAGAUGAGUUCUCCCUGACUCCUUGAG
rnacentral:rRNA from 1 species